UACACGACCGUACCGCAAACCGACACUGGUGCGCGAGAUGAGUAUUCUAAGGCGUUUGAGAGAACUCAGGAGAAGGAACUCGGCAAAUUGACACCGUAACUUCGGAAGAAGGUGUGCCUUUAGUAGGUGAACCUGUACAAGGGGAGCCCAAUGAGGUUGCAAAAAAUCGGUGGCUGCGACUGUUUAAUAAAAACACAGCACUCUGCAAACACGAAAGUGGACGUAUAGGGUGUGACGCCUGCCCGGUGCUGGAAGAUUAAAUGAUGGGGUGCAAGCUCUUGAUUGAAGUCCCAGUAAACGGCGGCCGUAACUAUAACGGUCCUAAGGUAGCGAAAUUCCUUGUCGGGUAAGUUCCGACCUGCACGAAUGGCGUAACGAUGGCCACACUGUCUCCUCCUGAGACUCAGCGAAGUUGAAAUGUUUGUGAUGAUGCAAUCUCCCCGCGGAAAGACGGAAAGACCCCAUGAACCUUUACUGUAGCUUUGUAUUGGACUUUGAACAGAUCUGUGUAGGAUAGGUGGGAGGCUUUGAAGUGUGGUCGCUAGAUCGCAUGGAGCCAACGUUGAAAUACCACCCUGGUGUGUUUGAGGUUCUAACCUAGGCCCGUAAUCCGGGUCGGGGACAGUGCAUGGUAGGCAGUUUGACUGGGGCGGUCUCCUCCCAAAGCGUAACGGAGGAGUUCGAAGGUACGCUAGGUACGGUCGGACAUCGUGCUAAUAGUGCAAUGGCAUAAGCGUGCUUAACUGCGAGACUGACAAGUCGAGCAGAUGCGAAAGCAGGACAUAGUGAUCCGGUGGUUCUGUAUGGAAGGGCCAUCGCUCAACGGAUAAAAGGUACUCUGGGGAUAACAGGCUGAUACCGCCCAAGAGUUCAUAUCGACGGCGGUGUUUGGCACCUCGAUGUCGGCUCAUCUCAUCCUGGGGCUGUAGCCGGUCCCAAGGGUAUGGCUGUUCGCCAUUUAAAGAGGUACGUGAGCUGGGUUUAAAACGUCGUGAGACAGUUUGGUCCCUAUCUUCCGUGGGCGCUGCAGAUUUGAGGAAGCCUGCUCCUAGUACGAGAGGACCGGAGUGGACACACCUCUGGUGUAUCGGUUGUCACGCCAGUGGCAUUGCCGAGUAGCUAUGUGUGGAAGAGAUAACCGCUGAAAGCAUCUAAGCGGGAAACUCGUUUCAAGAUGAGAUCUGCCGGGGCCUUGAGCCCCCUAAAGAGUCGUUCAAGACCAGGACGUUGAUAGGUCGGGUGUGGAAGCGCAGUAAUGCGUUAAGCUAACCGAUACUAAUUGCUCGUGCGGCUUGACCU
rnacentral:rRNA from 1 species